GCAGGGGGUCUCUGGGUUGGUUGGUCGCCUGCCGUUCAUUGACUACCGCCGCCCCGCCAGUCGUCAGGAAGCAGCGGCGGCGUAAGGUUCCUCGUUCCCCCUAGAAGUGAUUGUGAUGCAUCAGUGAUGGGAGGGAGAUGGUGACGACGUCUGGAGUGUGAUGUCACCAGCUUCAUUUUUCCCAGUGCUGCCUCAUGAUCGCCCAGUCCUGACCAGCCUCAUGUCGAAGGAGUGAUAAACACAAUGGCUCAACGAGUGGCAGUGAACCGAAGCUUGGCAGCAUCUAGAGACGGGACACCAUUACACUCAAGAGCAGCCUCUCGCAGUUCCUCGAGGGAAGCUUUAAAUUGUGAUUCUACGACAACUAAACCCAAUAACAAUCAUGUGGUGGAUAAUGAUGGCCACAUUACGAUGAAUGGUAACAGGAAUACAAGUUAUCUUGCACCUCCUCAAGAGGAACGGACUGAGGGUCGAAGGGGAUGGUACGGCUCCAAUACAAAUCUCACUUCCACAGAUUCUACACCAAGCUCGGACCAUACCACCGAUUCAGGACAAGCAACAGAUUCUUCUCCACUUGCUGGUCCUCUCGCUUCACUUGGUUUUUCACAAAAUACUGACAAUACAAACACCUGUCUCUACCGCAUGCCUAUAGUUGGGUAUGAAGUCCUGGAAGAGCGCUCUAGAUUUACAGUAUUCAAGAUACAAGUGUUCCAUCAGCCCACCGGGGAUCAGUGGUUUGUAUUUCGCCGCUACACAGAUUUUGUUCGCCUUAACAAAAGGUUAAGAGCAGAGUUUCCAGGUCUUCGAUUUGCCUUACCACCAAAACGAUGGUUUGGCGACAACUUUGACCCCAUUUUCCUUGAAGACCGACAACUUGGAUUACAGGCUUUCAUAGAUAAUAUAAUUGGUCAUGCUAGAAUUCGUGAGAAAAAAUGUGUACGUGACUUCUUUUGUCUAGAUGAUCCGCCUGGUGCCCAUGACACAUUGGAGGAAAGUCGGGCAAUGUGUCAAACCUUGGAAGACAGUAUUGCUGAUCUUCAGAUACGGCUGCGGGAGAGAGAUGGGGAGAUUGCUGUGUUGCAGUCACAGGUCAACUUUCUCAUGGCACAGCAACACACACUUGUCAAAGCUCUCAGACUAGAAUGUGAUCUUCAGGGAAAUGAGGAAUACUGUCAUGGCUCCACACAUGACUUGAACCUGGCUCUUCUUAGCAUAAUGAGGAAUGACUUUCAGAUGUGAGAAGACCAUCGAGGGUGGCUUGAAUAAUGGCAAUGUUAUAUCCGCUUCAAGGAAUGGUGUGAGGCAUUCCUCACGUGACAGUCUCACAGUCCAUAAAUCCAACGCAGCUUCUACAGUG
rnacentral:misc_RNA from 1 species